rnacentral:rRNA from 1 species
UACGAAGGGGGCUAGCGUUGCUCGGAAUUAUUGGGCGUAAAGAGUGUGUAGGCGGUGCUCCAAGUCUGUUGUGAAAUCUCCCGGCUUAACUGGGAGGGUGCGGCGGAAACUGGAAUGCUAGAGGGUGGGAGAGGUAAGCGGAAUUCCUGGUGUAGCGGUGAAAUGCGUAGAUAUCAGGAGGAACACCUGUGGUGUAGACAGCUUACUGGACCACUUCUGACGCUGAGACACGAAAGCGUGGGUAGCAAACAGG